rnacentral:lncRNA from 1 species
CUGCAACCUCAGCCUCCCAGGUUCAAGCGGUUCUCCUGCCUCAGACUCCCAAGUAGCUGGGACUACAGGCAUGUGCCACCAGGCCCAGCUAAUUUUUGUAUUUUUGGUACAGGUAGGGUUUCACCAUGUUGGCCAGGAUGGUCUUGAUCUCUUGACCUCAUGAUCCGCCCACCUUGGCCUCCCAAAGUGUUGAGAUUACAGCCGUGCCUGACCCUCAUUACUCAUUUUUAAAACACUGAUUAUAUAUCUACCAUGUGCCAGAUCUCAUUAAGCCUUGAACAUAUUAUGAUGAAUAAAAAUGUUAAGGGACAUCAUGAAGCUCAUUCUAGCCACAACUCUUCAAACUGCACCAUGGAUCAUUUUUGAAAGAUAACAUCUUUAACAUUAAGAAAUCUCAAGUUUUCCAUUUGAGAAAUCUUCUGGAUUCUGCAUUCCAGUGGUUCCACUGAAGCCAGUAGGGCUGAAUACCCCAUGUAGGAACAGACUCAGCACAAGAAUGUAGGUUCUACAUUCUUAUCAUUUCAUUCCCCAUGCCCUAACCAAUCAGUGAUCCCAAUUCCUCAGCCCACUAUUCUCCAAAAUUUCCUUAAAUAUGCCCAUCCAAAACCCCUCAGGGAAGCAGAUUUGAGGUUCCCUUCAGUUCCCUUCUUUGGUUGCCCUAUGAUUAUUAAACUAUUUCUCUAC